CGUGAGUGAGGAAGGCCUUCGGGUCGUAAAGCUCUGUCAGAUGGGAAGAAAUGCGGGAAUGUCAAUAGCUUUCCCGCUUGACGGUACCAUCAGAGGAAGCACCGGCUAACUCCGUGCCAGCAGCCGCGGUAAUACGGGGGGUGCAAGCGUUGUUCGGAAUUAUUGGGCGUAAAGAGCGUGUAGGCGGCUGGAUAAGUCAGAUGUGAAAGCCCUGAGCUCAACUCAGGAAGUGCAUUUGAAACUGUCUGGCUAGAGUAAGGGAGAGGAAAGUGGAAUUCCUGGUGUAGAGGUGAAAUUCGUAGAUAUCAGGAGGAACACCGGUGGCGAAGGCGACUUUCUGGCCCUAUACUGACGCUGAGACGCGAAAGCGUGGGUAGCGAACAGGAUUAGAUACCCUGGUAGUCCACGCCGUAAACGAUGUUCACUAGGUGUUGGGAGUAUUGACCCUCUCGGUGCCGUAGCUAACGCAUUAAGCGAACCGCCUGGGGAGUACGGUCGCAAGACUA
rnacentral:rRNA from 1 species